GUAAAUAACCAUAACAAGGGAAAAGGUAUAUAGAAAUAGAUUGCACAAAGACAGAGUACGUCCCUAUCCGUGCCUUUGCCAGCACCUAAACAUAGGCUAAGACAGUGAAAUAAGACAAGCUGCUUUAAGGAUUCCCUAAGAGUACCAAGUACGGGUACUGCAUUCAUAGGCAAUGUGCAUAGAUUUUGCAAAUAAAACAAAAUAUAAGUGGAG